rnacentral:lncRNA from 1 species
UGAAGGAAAGAAAAAAUGAACCUAUCUUAGUAGGUCAUUUUAGAUAGAAAGGAAUGUUGUGGGGACAUGGAAUUCAGAUUUGCUGCAGGAUAUCACUCUACACCUCAUCAUAAUUUAAUCAAGAGUGACAUCUUGAAGUAUCAAACAACCAUUUUGUUUAUCAUUUCAGUGGGUUUGGAGUACUCUGUCCUCCACAAUAGAAGAAAAAUAAACAAACAGAUGAGAAUUAUGAUUACAGGAAAGAAUCAGAUGACAUGCAGUUGGCAUGAUGAGGGCAGAGAAAAGAAUGUGACCGGGGAAAAAACAAGGGAGAAAAACAUCUUUCCCCG